AGCGAACGCUGGCGGCAGGCCUAACACAUGCAAGUCGAACGAACCUUUCGGGGUUAGUGGCGGACGGGGGAGUAACACGUGGGAACGUGCCUGUAGGUUCGGAAUAACUCAGGGAAACUUGUGCUAACACCGAAUGUGCCCUUCGGGGGAAAGAUUCAUCGCCUUUAGAGCGGCCCGCGUCUGAUUAGCUAGUUGGUUGAGGUAAUGGCUCACCAGGGCGACGAUCAGUAGCUGGUCUGAGAGGAUGAUGAGCCACAUUGGGACUGAGACACGGCCCAAACUCCUACGGGAGGCAGCAGUGGGGAAUCUUGCGCAAUGGGCGAAAGCCUGACGCAGCCAUGCCGCGUGAAUGAUGAAGGUCUGAGGAUUGUAAAAUUCUUUCACCGGGGACGAUAAUGACGGUACCCGGAGAAGAAGCCCCGGCUAACUUCGUG
rnacentral:rRNA from 1 species